AGAAUCAACGCUGGCGGCGUGCCUAACACAUGCAAGUCGAACGAGAAAGUGGAGCAAUCCAUGAGUAAAGUGGCGCACGGGUGAGUAACACGUGACUAAUCUACCUCCGAGUGGGGAAUAACUGAGAGAAAUCUUAGCUAAUACCGCAUAACACUUACGAGUCAAAGCAGCAAUGCGCUUGGAGAGGAGUUCGCGGCCGAUUAGUUAGUUGGCGGGGUAAUGGCCCACCAAGACGAUGAUCGGUAUCCGGCCUGAGAGGGCGCACGGACACACUGGAACUGAAACACGGUCCAGACUCCUACGGGAGGCAGCAGUGGGGAAUUUUGCGCAAUGGGGGAAACCCUGACGCAGCAACGCCGCGUGGAGGAUGAAGCCCCUUGGGGUGUAAACUCCUUUCGAUCGGGAAGAUAAUGACGGUACCGAUAUAAGAAGCCCCGGCUAACUUCGUGCCAGCAGCCGC
rnacentral:rRNA from 1 species